rnacentral:rRNA from 1 species
AGUGAACGCUGGCGGUAGGCCUAACACUUGCAAGUCGAACGGCAGCACAGGAGAGCUUGCUCUCUGGGUGGCGAGUGGCGGACGGGUGAGGAAUACAUCGGAAUCUACUUUUUCGUGGGGGAUAACGUAGGGAAACUUACGCUAAUACCGCAUACGACCUACGGGUGAAAGCAGGGGAUCUUCGGACCUUGCGCGAUUGAAUGAGCCGAUGUCGGAUUAGCUAGUUGGCGGGGUAAAGGCACACCAAGGCGACGAUCCGUAGCUGGGAUGAGAGGAUGAUCAGCCAAACUGGAACGGAGACACGGUCCAGACUCCUACGGGAGGCAGCAGUGGGGAAUAUUGGACAAUGGGCGCAAGCCUGAUCCAGCCAUACCGCGUGGGUGAAGAAGGCCUUCGGGUUGUAAAGCCCUUUUGUUGGGAAAGAAAUCCAGCUGGUUAAUACCCGGUUGGGAUGACGGUACCCAAAGAAUAAGCACCGGCUAACUUCGUGCCAGCCGCCGCGGUAA